rnacentral:tRNA from 1 species
GGUGGCUCAGUGGAGAGCGCUUGCCUUGCAUGCAUGAAGCCCUGGGUUCGAUUCCUCAGCACCA